rnacentral:tRNA from 5 species
GCAGAGAUAGUCUAGCCUGGGAAGGCGUACGGCUGGAAACCGUAUGAGGCUUUGCCUCCCGGGGGUUCAAAUCCCCCUCUCUGCGCCA